CUGUCCCCGCGACGUUGUCCGCGAGCAUGUUGCGAUCGCUGGAUCGAUAUCGGCCGGGAAACCGGUAGCGCGCGGAACUUCGCGCGCCUUUCGGGAAAUGCCUGAAUAAUGCGACUUGUUUACACAACGAGCGAUUACGUAACGUUUGCCCAACGGUCAAGGCACCGUUCGCGCGACACGACUUUCAUUCAUUACGAUUCACGGUGUCGCGAGGCUUGCUAAAUACAGCGGUAUGCGAGACGCUGCAGUAUUCGCCUUCCUUCUCGCGAGCAAGAGUCGUCGGUGGUUUCUAAGGACAGAACUCGGAAAGAAUUGAGGUUAUCGCGGCGAAACUUGCGAGCGAUCGACGAGAAAUCGAUGAGUUCGCGUCCGAGAGCAGAGCAUCGUCCGCGACGGCGGCGCCACAGGCGAAGAUCCCCCAUUUGGCCGCGGACCCGUGUUUAUUUUCCUUGGUGAAGUAUCGUCGGCCAGAAAUUUUCGUGCCGCGUUGUUCGCGCGGUUUUCGUGCCCGUCGGACCAAGAUUAAAAAAUACAUUUCUUCGGCACGACGGCCUCGGGGACACGCUCGCGUCCGGCAAUGCGAACGAGAAGAAUGCCGCCGCGGAGCCCCGUGUUGACACAGUCAGGAUUGCGAGGAUGUCGAAACUUUUGUUCGGCGAAACUUUGACGCGCCUUUAACAAAUUAGCGAGAUGUUACAGUUGGGCGACGCGGCGGUGCGCCGCGGCUGACGUCACCGGCUAGAAAAGCCGGCAUUUCGGUGCGCUACGCAAACCCUCCGAGAAAAGAUGAUCGGAAACACGUUGUCGAGAGGGUAUCGGGUAUAGAGCCACGGGGCUGCUUAAAAUAGGCGUUAUCGCAACACGGAACAGGAAGAACGAAAAGGUGACGGCGCCGCGGUGAAAAUUUCGAAAAACCUUGCCGCGGUACCGACCGCUACCAGUUACCAAAGCGAAUACUAUAAACGUGUAUUAAUAGAAGCCUCUUAAUGAAACAUUCCAUUCCCAUGAUAUCGCUUUUGAAACGCGUCGGUGUGUGUGUGAAAUUUUAGCCGCCACGUGUAACGCGAGUAGAGUCUUCAACGAGAUCUCCAGCCGCGCCCUGUUUUGCCAAAUUGCUGCAUUCGCUUCGACGAAAAUUCUGAAAUCCGACCAUCCGUUUGCCGGGGAUAUCGGCCGGGACACGGCGCCAGAGCGAAAAGCGUAGGCGAUGUUUUAUCUCGGGUGCGACUCGCUUGACCCUACAAUUACAUCGGUUAAUCGGGUUAAAAGACGAACCGGGCGGACAGGUGAAGAAUAGGGCAUUUCUAGGAGCGCGGGACGAGAGGCCCGCGGAAAUUGAAAUUCCAUCGUGCACCUCGUGUUUGACCUCGUGGUGUCAUCGGACAGCAUGCUUAUCUAUCAGUUUCGAUAAAAAUCGUAGCAAUAGAAGUAUAAACGAUGGCUUUUGACUUCUCGGGUUAUCGAUAACCGUGGAAAGAAAGAUACCGACUGGCGUGUCGCGUUACUUCGAAAAAUGGAGGAUGCCUUUUAGUAUCUCCGGUCAACAGUAAUAAUAAUAAUAAUCGAAUACCAAAAAAUUCACGAGUGAGAAUUAUGCUUAUCCUCUCUGCUCUAUCUUGUCAGCUGUGCAUAUAUUGCUCAAACAUUUCUUCGUUCAGUAACCACCACUUUCGAGACUGCACAUGUUGGUAUUUAUAAUGAAUGAACCGCGUGCGGCUCUGUCUGAGACAGCGGUCAACGUAAGGAGGAUAAUACAAUUUAUCUGUCCAUAAAUCGUUUCUUUCCAUUGCUCUCAAGUUAACGUUUUCGAAGCGAACACGCGCAUAGUUUUAACCGUGAGAUUACGAAUUCGAUAUAAAUAUCGAACAAAGAUCCCAGCUAAACGGAAGAGAACGUUCGAUCGUUUGUAUUAGUUCCACGAGCAAAUUAACCGAGAAUCGUGGUGGAAUUAGAUGAUAAUCUGUUGUUAUUUAAAAUGAAAAUUACCUGAAACGGUGGGUGGACGUGGCAAGCACUCCGGUUUGGUGCAGGUCGCACCCGACGAACCAUCUGUUGCAUCGGUUUGGGGUUUGAAGACGGCUCUGAAUCGCGAGAAAAUCGAGCAGCCGCACUUGCCCAUUUCGGAUCGGUUUGUUCGAUUCGAUGAUAAAUCCGCGGUGGCGGUCGUUCUCCACAGGUGUUUUUCCUGACGUCGGUGUUCGGAGUUUCAAGUCCACGCGUACGCGGUCUGCGUCUGGCAUUCGCGCGUUUUCACGCUCAUCUCGACAACCGUCAAAGUUCUCGCUUGCGCAGAUACAGCAAGGCGGCGUCGCGCGCCCGGGAUCCGAGCACCUAUCGAUUCGUCGGAUGUCGCGUGGAUGAUCUUGGUCUCGGCUCGGCUUUGCUCUAAAGAGCAAAUCCUGGAUCCCGCGUCGGUAAUCGUUCGAUCAAGGGCAUCUGGUGUAGCUAGACCAACCGAUUCAUCGGCGCGCAAAAAGUCGCUGCUUCUGGACGAUUUCCUUGAUGCCGACGGCAAUUUCGAAUUGCUUUCGCGGGACCAACGAUUUAUCCGAUCGCUCCUUGUUCGAUGACAAAUGGAAAAAAGAAGGAGAACUGGUAGCACCGGUAAAUGGACUAACCGGUGAUGAUAUCACGAGGCAUUCUAAGCGCGACCGCGAACCGAUCGAGACCACGCGUUCCGUCGAUCUGCUCGCAAGUUGAUGAGCGACUGUCGAGAUCCCGCGCUCAACCUUCGUUUAAUUUUUAGGCGACUGCUAACGGCUACGAUGCCUGCACUUUUUUACGUGGGCAGGCAUAUUCUAACGAGGCUCUCCUUCCUCUGUGGUCUCAUCGAGGAAAAUUAUCGGAAAACCAUUGGUCGCGCAAACAUUUUCUGUGUUGACUCAUUUGAACUUCAGACUCGGAUAAGACUUUCAUCGAAACAAAACCAUCCGUGAAUUCCGUGAAUUUCCGAAGCAGAACUAUUCAAUGAGUUGCUCGCUUUAAAAAGAAAAAUUGUUAGUCAUAUCCUCGGCGGGGACUAACCGCGGCGUGCAUCGGAUACGCAAUUAGUCGUGACUAUUGUAAGAUAUCGUUAGCCGAAAAUAGACACAACACAUUCUCUUCCUGAGUAUCACGGUUUUAUUCGCAAAAGAAUAUUCAUAUUAAAUGCCGCAAAUGAUUACUUGCAAACACAUCUGUAUACAACGUAUCAAAUCGACUACUCGAGCGAGUGGGAAAUAUCAAUUUAUAUCAAAGCUCGUAUCGUGGUUGGGGAUGUUGUAUUCGGCUCUAUUGUCUUCUAUCUUUAUAGUAGUUUGCAUUAUGUCGUCCACUAAUACGUACAGGUAUCUGUACACGUAAUUGCCCUUUUCGUUCUGUAAUCAAUUUGCACAUGUUAGACACGGUUAAAAUACGUGGAAUCGCACGGAAAUUACUCACUUCUUGUACUUCUAAUGUCACUGUACCGCGUCUCCUUAUACCUUGAAGGUAGAAUUGCAUUCUCAUAUGCUGCACCCCGUCUUUUACAAACGUAGCAUGACUGUAAAAAUUUUAGGUUUGAACGAAGCAAGAUUAAAGCAAAUACAAAAAGAACCUACCUAACGUGUGUACGACGUCUACGACGAUUCUCCUCUCCGUAAGCUUUUAUAGGUUCUCCGAGAGCAUCUAUCACUUUAGGUUCUUUUUUGCAACGUUCCAACGCUUUGUUAUAAACGUUAUUCGGACUUUUACUGGAGAAUAGUUCAUUGAAAAUCAUAUAAAACAUUAAACCUGUGAUCGCUAUGCCACCAAUUAUUACGCUUAAAUAUCCAAUAGAUUUUGUGUUCUCUUUAACUGAAAUACAAACGACAUCAAGAAACA